CGUGUAGGCGGGAAGAUAAGUCGGGUGUGAAAUCCCUGGGCUCAACCUAGGAACUGCAUCCGAAACUGCCUUUCUGGGGUGAUGGAGAGGAAAGCGGAAUUCCCGGUGUAGAGGUGAAAUUCGUAGAUAUCGGGAGGAACACCAGUGGCGAAGGCGGCUUUCUGGCCAUCAACUGACGCUGAGACGCGAAAGCGUGGGGAGCAAACAG
rnacentral:rRNA from 1 species